rnacentral:sRNA from 1 species
ACCCCGGUAUUAUUGCUGUUAUGGGUUUGAAUCGAGCUUAGCCUUGUUCAUUUUUUAACACAACACCCCCGUAAAAAAUACAAUACGGCCCGCUCAACGUCGCAGGUCCCAAGCCCCUCAAUCAGCUAAAAGCGCCCCAAACCGCCUCAAAAAUGCCCUUGUGGCGCUUUUUUAGGGCAA